rnacentral:rRNA from 1 species
GACAGAGGGUGCAAACGUUGCUCGGAAUUACUGGGCGUAAAGCGCGUGUAGGUGGACUGGUGUGUCAGAUGUGAAAUCCCUGGGCUCAACCCAGGAACUGCACCUGAAACUACCAGCCUUGAGUGGUGGAGAGGGAAGUGGAAUUCCUGGUGUAGAGGUGAAAUUCGUAGAUAUCAGGAGGAACACCAGUGGCGAAGGCGGCUUCCUGGACAACAACUGACGCUGAGACGCGAAAGCGUGGGGAGCAAACAGG